rnacentral:rRNA from 1 species
AAACACGUCGUCGUCGAGCUCGAUACUACUCCUAGUUGUGGUAAGAGAGAGAGAGAGUAAAAGCGGGAGAGCGAGAGAAGAUGAAACACGUGAGGAUGAGGUGGGCAAGUUGGACUUUGGAGGUCCGGCCGGGAUGAGAUACAAAGAUGAGCUGCGCACCGUGAAUUGCCAGCCAGCCUCGCCAGUCGCCACCGCACCAAACAGCAAGCGAAGCGGGCCGGCAAAGUGGUGCCAUUUGCUUCCCUCCUCCUCUCGCAUCUCCUCUCCCUCUAUCCGUCCGCCCCUUUGCUGCCACCGCCACACAUAUCUACCACUACUGCUACGAGCGCUCUGUUUACCGCGGCCAUCAGCCCCCGAGCCGCGCCGUAACUCCCGUCCCGACUAGUGUCGCGUCAGUAAACCACCGCCGGACCAAACCCUAGCGGCCCGCCGGCGAUGUCGGCGUCUCCCCCGCCGCCGGAGGAGGACGCCGUGCCUCUGGCCGUCGCCGUCGCCGGCAACGACAGGGUCCUCGCCGCGGCGCACCACAUCGUCAAGUCGCUCGCCACCUCCAAGAACGCCGCCGACGACAUGAUCCGCAUCCUCUCGGGCUUCGACUACCGCUUCUCCAACAUCACCUCCGACCUCUUCCACUCCACCUCGCCCUCUCGCUCCCGUUCCCCGUCCGACGCCGACGCCGACCCGGAGGCCCCCUCCCUGGCGGAUUUCGACGAAGCGGCGCGGCUCAUCCACCUCUGGGACACCACCCCGGAGGCGCUCGUCUUCGAGGCGCCCGAGGACGACGCCGCCAACUACCUCGCCGCGGUCGACGUCGCCGUCGACCACCUCGCCGCCGGGGGCGCCGCCGCCGCCUCGGGCCGCGCGGGCGUCGCCGUGCAGCUCGCCAUGGCGCGCCUCGAGGACGAGCUCCGCCACCUCAUGCUCCACCACGCCGUGCCGCUCGACGCCAGCGGCCUCUACUGCUCGCUCCGCCGCCUCUCGCUCGAGUCCAUGGACGACCUCGACACCUCCUCCGAGUUCGACCCCACCACCCCGCACAGCCAGGAGGGCGCGCCAGAUACCGCCCGCAGCGCCAGUCUCGUGGGGAACCCCUUCGACGACCAGCUGUUCGACCUGGUGCGGCCUGACGCUGUUGAUGAGCUGCGCGCCAUUGCUGAGCGGAUGGGGCGCGCUGGCUAUGCAAGUGAGCUCGUGCAGGUUUACUGUGGCAUCCGCCGGGACCUGCUUGAUGAGUGCCUCACAGUUCUGGGGGUCGAGCGUCUCAGCAUCGAUGAGGUUCAGCGUGUGGAGUGGAAGCAGCUGAAUGACAAGAUGAAGAAAUGGGUGCAUGGCGUCAAGACGGUUGUCCGCUCCCUGCUGACAGGCGAGCGCCGGCUCUGUGAUCAGGUGCUCGCAGUGUCCGAUGAGCUGCGGGACGAGUGCUUUGUUGAAUCCACCAAGGUUUGCAUAAUGCAGAUUCUUAACUUUGGGGAUGCUGUGGCUGUGUGCCCUCGUUCGCCCGAGAAGGUGUCCCGGAUUCUUGAUAUGUAUGAGGCACUUGCUGAGGUAAUUCCUGAGCUCAAGGAACUGUACUAUGGGACUCCUGGGGAUGAUGUGAUCUGUGAUUUGGAGGGGGUCCUUGGGAGGCUUGGGGAUGCAGUCAAGGGUAACCUUCUUGAGUUUGGGAAGGUUCUACAGCAGGAGUCGUCACGCCGGCCUAUGAUGGCUGGUGAGAUCCACCCAAUCACACGUUAUGUGAUGAACUAUCUUAGGCUGUUGGUCGUUUACAGUGAUACGCUUGACAAACUCUUGGAUGAGGAUGCUGCCGGAGAUGCUGAUCAUAAUGCUUCAAAUGGAGGUGCUGAUGAUGACGAGGAGUAUCUGCAGAGCUUGACCCCACUUGGACAUCGGUUGGUGAAGCUCAUGUCUUACUUGGAGGCCAAUUUGGAGGAAAAAUCUAAACUGUACGAGGACGGUGCACUCCAGUGUAUAUUUUCCAUGAAUAAUACACUUUAUAUUGUCCAAAAGGUGAAGGAUUCCGAGCUCAGGAGGAUUUUAGGUGAUCAUUGGACACGGAGGCGCCGUGGAAAGAUUCGGCAAAAUUCCAAGAGCUACCUUAGGAUAUCGUGGACAAAGGUUUUGUCCUAUCUCAAGGAUGAUGGUCAUGGCAGUGGGAGUGUAAGUCUUGGGAAUUCAAGCUCGAGGGUCAAAGAGAAAUUUAAGAACUUCAACUUUGCCUUUGAUGAGAUUUACAGGAGUCAAACGCUUUGGAAGGUACCGGAUCCUCAACUCCGUGAAGAGCUCAAGAUAUCUAUAUCUGAAAAUGUGAUUCCAGCAUAUCGUGCUUUUCUGGGUAGAUAUGGUAGUCUAGUGGAUAAUGGAAGAAGUUCUGGUAAAUACAUAAAGUACACCCCAGAGGACUUGGAAAAUCAACUGUCUGAUCUUUUCGAAGGCUCACUAGGGUCUGCCAACCAUUCCAGAAGAAGGUUAUAGUUCCUAUGACAGAAUUUGGUUACAGGUAUAUCUUUGUUACAAGGGGAAGUAUAUUGCUGAACCGCUGGUUACAUGUAUUGGAUUGGUGCAUGUUCCCUAGUUGGUAUGGUGCUGUAAUACCGCAGGAGUCCACAGGAGGAUCCUUUGGUUAAGUCAGAUUAUGUGUAACAAGAAAUAAUGUACAUGUAUUGUUUUUCCAGUGUACUCAUUUCUUUGCACACUACAAUGUCCAAAAUCUAGAUUUGGCACCAUGUAGAGGCGUGCUUCUUGGAAUAUAUUGAACAUGUUAUAUGUGUUUCAGUUGGAAUAACUUGCAGAAGAUGUGGGAAAAGGGCAUGUUUAGGCCGCAAACCAGAAGUAACAGAGUUUGCCAUUUGCAUGCUUAGAGAAAACGAAGUGAAACAAACAUGUCUUAUGAAAUCGAUGAAGCUACGGAUCAUAAAACUGACCAUAGUGCAAAAUCCGACAGAUCGUACUGUUGAAGAAAGUAAGUAUCAUUAAUUUGAUUGCUGCGCAAAAGUCUAGACACUUCUUUUCUUUAUGCUCACAUACAACUUAUGUUACCUUAGAAUGAAGGCUUAUGUUUUCUCUAGUAAGAUACUUGUAUGAACUAAACACAUUUAUCGUCAGAGUCUGUAACAAAGGUUACUUAAUCAGACUGUAGGGCACAGUGUCAAAAAAUAAAUUCAGACUGUAGGUUAGUGGUACAAGCUAAUAAUGAUCUUCAGGCAGUACGUACUAAUUUAGAGGUGCC